GAGUUUGAUCCUGGCUCAGAACGAACGCUGGCGGCGUGCCUAACACAUGCAAGUCGAACGUGAUCCAGAGCUUGCUCUGGUGAAAGUGGCGCACGGGUGAGUAACGCGUGGAUAACCUACCCUGGUAUCCGGGAUAACAUUCCGAAAGGGGUGCUAAUACCGGAUAAGCCCACGGGCUCUUUGGAGCUUGCGGGAAAAGGUGGCCUCUAUUUAUAAGCUACUGUAUCAGGAUGGGUCCGCGCACCAUUAGCUAGUUGGCGGUGUAACGGACCACCAAGGCGACGAUGGUUAGCUGGUCUGAGAGGAUGAUCAGCCACACUGGAACUGAGACACGGUCCAGACUCCUACGGGAGGCAGCAGUGGGGAAUUUUGCGCAAUGGGGGAAACCCUGACGCAGCAACGCCGCGUGAGUGAUGAAGGCCUUUGGGUCGUAAAGCUCUGUCAGAGGGGAAGAAAUGAUAUAGUGCUAAUACCACUUUAUCUUGACGGUACCCUCAAAGGAAGCACCGGCUAACUCCGUGCCAGCAGCCGCGGUAAUAC
rnacentral:rRNA from 1 species